UAAGCGGAGGAAAAGAAACCAACAGGGAUUGCCUCAGUAGCGGCGAGUGAAGCGGCAAAAGCUCAAAUUUGAAAUCUGGCGUCUUUGGCGUCCGAGUUGUAAUUUGAAGAAGGUAUCUUUGGGCCCGGCUCUUGUCUAUGUUCCUUGGAACAGGACGUCACAGAGGGUGAGAAUCCCGUGCGAUGAGAUGGCCCGGGUCUAUGUAAAGUUCCUUCGACGAGUCGAGUUGUUUGGGAAUGCAGCUCUAAGUGGGUGGUAAAUUCCAUCUAAAGCUAAAUAUUGGCGAGAGACCGAUAGCGAACAAGUACAGUGAUGGAAAGAUGAAAAGAACUUUGAAAAGAGAGUGAAAAAGUACGUGAAAUUGUUGAAAGGGAAGGGCUUGAGAUCAGACUUGGUAUUUUGCAAGUUACUCUUUCGGGGGUGGCCUCUGCGGUUUACCGGGCCAGCAUCGGUUUGGAGCGGUAGGAUAAUGGCGGGGGAAUGUGGCACGACUUUGGUUGUGUGUUAUAGCCUCUGACGAUACUGCCAGCCUAGACCGAGGACUGCGGUUUUUACCUAGGAUGUUGGCAUAAUGAUCUUAAGUCGCCCGUCUUG
rnacentral:rRNA from 1 species